ensembl:snRNA U6 U6 spliceosomal RNA
GUGCUUGCCUUGGCAGCACCUAUAUUAAGGUUAGAACAAUACAGAGAAGAUUAGCAUAGCCCUGCACAAUAAUGACACACAAAUUCCUGAAGCAUUCCAUAUUUUU